CAGUAGCCACGGUAAUACGAAGGGGGCUAGCGUUGUUCGGAAUCACUGGGCGUAAAGGGUGCGUAGGCGGGAUCUUAAGUCAGGGGUGAAAUCCCGAGGCUCAACCUCGGAACUGCCUUUGAUACUGGGGUCCUUGAGUCCGGAAGAGGUGAGUGGAACUGCGAGUGUAGAGGUGGAAUUCGUAGAUAUUCGCAAGAACACCGGUGGCGAAGGCGGCUCACUGGUCCGGAACUGACGCUGAGGCACGACAGCGUGGGGAGCAAACAGGAUUAGAUACCCCUGUAGUCCCUGUCUCUUAUAC
rnacentral:rRNA from 1 species